CGUACGACUACAUCAACCACGUUGUCAUAACGCUUCCGCUAUCGGUCUACGAGGGUUAUUCAACAUUGAAGCUGCUUGCAUUGAUCCACAAUAGAUCUUGACUUCGGCGAAAAAUAAGGUUCUGUACACACUAUUUUCAGAAGCUUGUGUGGCAGCAACAAUAUUUGUACCACGACAUGUAGUCGAAACAGAGGGAAAAACUUUGUAGAGAUCGAAGUUUCACUGUUACAAACACAAUAAAGGUUUCAUGGUGGCAGUGCCUUCUUCUACAUGAUGGGAAUUCGACGGCAUUUUGUUGUUUUGUUGUUAAAUACCAACUGGGCAUGUCGUUUAUUCACAGAUCAAGUAAUAUGACCAUCUCUUGCAGACAAAACGCUCGGGGAAAGUCCCAGCCGUGCACCUGUGAUCGCUGGAACGGCAUACUGUUUUAGGCACGCAAUACAGACUGGUCAGGACGUUUGUGUCUAUAGGAUGGAAUUACAUGAUAUGUCAAAAUGGUGGUCUUUAUUAUGCAAUUUAACUGAUCUCUUGUUGAACCCCUCCUUUUCCAGAAAAAAACUAUUAUUUAAUCUUUGAAGUUUAAUCUUCUGUCUACAUAGUUUUACUGAUAAUUGAAUGCAUUAGUUCAUAGCAUUUUGUGGUGAAAAUCUAGGUCAACAACCAUAUAUAUACUAAGGUGAACUUACUACUGACUGCAUUUCCUGUUAACAGAGUUUACUGUUUGAUAUUUGGGACCCUCAAUUUCGCUCAGAAUCUCAUUAUCCAGACGUUGUCCUGUCAUAUUUUUUCUUGAUAAUCAAAGUGAAUUUCUUUGAAAUUAUUCCAACUCUGCAACUGGUGGAGGGUUGCGCUUAAUGUAAGGUCCCAAAAGGGAAACAAUCAUGUUCUUUGUUAACAAUCGAGUAAAACAAAGCAUCAUUGUGUCGUCUUACUUCGAAUAGUUUAGGCGACAGCUUCUUUUGUGUGGGGUAACAAUACAUGGAGUUCCUGUUUCAAUAGGGCUCUAUUAAGUUGCAACCAAGCAAGUGCAUGGUCAUGCCAGAUACUUUUGUUCUUAAUAUUGUGUAGGUUUCUAUAUGUUGAAUUUAUAGAAGCAUUAUUAAGCUCAUGCUUUCAGGGAAAUGAUUGACAAUGGCACUUUUGAGCUAUGAUGCUCAUAUGUUACCAAAUGGUAUCAUUUCAACCCAACAAAGAAUGUUGAUACUAGAGUUCAUAGUCCAUCUGAUUUUACUUCCUAUCAUUUUCAGCCUGUUAUGUAGAAGAUUUAUACAUGGCAGCUACAUGAAUGGGAAUCAGCAGUAAACAGAAUGCAGGGUUCAUCAAAUGGGUAACAAGAAAAAGGCUACCCCCAAAACCUGCAUUGUUUGUCUUCUAUUUUGAACCUCAUGGACUCAAGCUUCAGAUACCAUCUAACGGACCGAAGCAGAGAUCACAUAAGUUUCGGUUAUAUAGCUUUCUGAAGAGAGCUGGAUGGCUUUUACUAAGAUGGUACAAAAUGUAUGUUUUGUAGUCAAAUCAUUAGCUCAUGCUUUUUUUCCUGGCAGAGUUUCUUGUUUCUGUUAAAACCUGGCAUGUCAAUCCCAUGACGGAGGGCCAUUGCCCGGUGCACAAGGCUCCCGUCUGUGUGAUGGUCGCUGAAGCGAUCAAAGCGUCUAGCAGGGACUCAUCCCUGGUGGUGGUGGACAGCAGAAGAGACCACUGGGAUGAAGAACAGUGACAACUUCUGUCCUUAGGCGUGAGCUGAUGCAAAGACACCUCCUGUCCUCAAGCGCGAGCUUAGUUGGAAUCCCAAUGUUUGUUAGUACUGUGUUGUAUAUUACA